GAUGAAGAACGUAGUGAAAUGCGAUACUUGGUGUGAAUUGCAGAAUCCCGUGAACCAUCGAGUCUUUGAACGCAAGUUGCGCCCGAAGCCACUAGGCCGAGGGCACGCCUGCCUGGGCGUCACACGUCGUUGCCCCCCCCCCAUCUACUCCUUCGGGAUUGCGGGGGGCGGAUGAUGGCCUCCCGUGCGCCUAGCCGCGCGGUUGGCAUAAAUACCAAGUCCUCGGCGACGCACGCCACGACAAUCGGUGGUUGCGAAACCUCGGUUGCCCGUCGUGUGCGUUCGUCGCGCAUCGAGGGCUCGAAAAAAUGCUCGGCUCCGGCUCGGCUUUCAACGCGACCCCAGGUCAGGCGGGGUUACCCGCUGAAUUUAAGCAUAUCAAUAAGCGGAGGA
rnacentral:misc_RNA from 1 species